CAAUAGCGUAUAUUAAAGUUGUUGCAGUUAAAAAGCUCGUAGUUGGAUUUCUGUUUUGGAUGUCCGGUCCGCUCCCUCUGGGAGUGCGUACUUAUGGAUGUUCGAGGCAUUUUUUGUGAGGUCGCUUUUCUGCCAUUAAGUUGGUGGUUUUGCGGGCCUGCAUCGUUUACUGUGAAAAAAUUAGAGUGUUUAAAGCAGGCGUUUGCUCAUUUGAAUACAUUAGCAUGGAAUAAUAAGAUACGGCCUUGGUGGUCUAUUUUGUUGGUUUGCACACCAGGGUAAUGAUUAAUAGGGACAGUUGGGGGUAUUCAUAUUUCAGCGUCAGAGGUGAAAUUCUUGGAUCGCUGAAAGAUGAGCUUAGGCGAAAGCAUUUACCAAGGAUGUUUUCAUUAA
rnacentral:rRNA from 1 species